AACGAACGCUGGCGGCAUGCCUAACACAUGCAAGUCGAACGAUGCUUUCGGGCAUAGUGGCGCACGGGUGCGUAACGCGUGGGAAUCUGCCCUUGGGUUCGGAAUAACAGUGAGAAAUUGCUGCUAAUACCGGAUGAUGUCUUCGGACCAAAGAUUUAUCGCCCAGGGAUGAGCCCGCGUAGGAUUAGCUAGUUGGUGGGGUAAUGGCCUACCAAGGCGACGAUCCUUAGCUGGUCUGAGAGGAUGAUCAGCCACACUGGGACUGAGACACGGCCCAGACUCCUACGGGAGGCAGCAGUGGGGAAUAUUGGACAAUGGGCGCAAGCCUGAUCCAGCAAUGCCGCGUGAGUGAUGAAGGCCUUAGGGUUGUAAAGCUCUUUUACCCGGGAUGAUAAUGACAGUACCGGAGAAUAAGCUCCGGCUAACUCCGUG
rnacentral:rRNA from 1 species